GUGGGGAAUAUUGGACAAUGGGCGCAAGCCUGAUCCAGCAAUGCCGCGUGAGUGAUGAAGGCCUUCGGGUCGUAAAGCUCUUUUACCAGGGAUGAUAAUGACAGUACCUGGAGAAUAAGCUCCGGCUAACUCCGUGCCAGCAGCCGCGGUAAUACGGAGGGAGCUAGCGUUGUUCGGAAUUACUGGGCGUAAAGCGCACGUAGGCGGUUACUCAAGUCAGAGGUGAAAGCCCGGGGCUCAACCCCGGAACAGCCUUUGAAACUAGGUGACUGGAAUCUUGGAGAGGCGAGUGGAAUUCCGAGUGUAGAGGUGAAAUUCGUAGAUAUUCGGAAGAACACCAGUGGCGAAGGCGACUCGCUGGACAAGUAUUGACGCUGAGGUGCGAAAGCGUGGGGAGCAAACAGGAUUAGAUACCCGGGUAGUCC
rnacentral:rRNA from 1 species